UGGGGAAUAUUGGACAAUGGGCGAAAGCCUGAUCCAGCAAUGCCGCGUGAGUGAUGAAGGCCUUAGGGUUGUAAAGCUCUUUUUACCAGGGAUGAUAAUGACAGUACCUGGAGAAUAAGCUCCGGCUAACUCCGUGCCAGCAGCCGCGGUAAUACGGAGGGAGCUAGCGUUGUUCGGAAUUACUGGGCGUAAAGGGCGCGUAGGCGGCAAUUCAAGUCAUCUGUGAAAUCUCCGGGCUUAACUCGGAACGGUCAGAUGAUACUGCUUUGCUAGAGUGCAGAAGGGGCAAUCGGAAUUCUUGGUGUAGCGGUGAAAUGCGUAGAUAUCAAGAGGAACACCUGAGGUGAAGACGGGUUGCUGGGCUGACACUGACGCUGAGGCGCGAAAGCCAGGGGAGCAAACGGGAUUAGAUACCCCCGUAGUCCCUGAGCGGGCUGGCAAGGCGCAU
rnacentral:rRNA from 1 species